CCAAGCCUACCGAGUGUGCCUUUCAAACUUCAAAGUGUGAACUACAAGUUCUGGAGAAUUGAUUGUUACAGACGAGAGAGAGGAAUGAGACCGUCGUUUUUCCUUUUUUUAGCUCUUCUGUGAGAGGAACGAAGAAGAGACGCUCUAGCAGAUCGGCAGUGCCGAUGGCGUCGAGUUCUCUGAAGAAUUCAUCAACAUCGGUCGUGCUUGACAAGACUCCUUACAAAAGACAAUAGCUACAACGAGAAUCGCACAUGCGAUCCGUCCACGAGAUCGACAUCUUGCAAAACCCUAAUCUCUGUCGCGCGACGAUCUGAUGAGAAAUCUCAUUGAUCAGAUCGACGUCUCGCAAAACCCUAAUCUCUUCCGUCUAUUUCUAUCUUCUACUUGAAGAAAACGCAAGAAGUGAGAAACGACAUCGGUCGUGCUUACAAGUCUCUCUUAUUGUUGAGAAACGACAACAGCUGCAAGGAGAAACGCACCUGCCAUCUGUCCACGAGAUCGACUUCUCGCAAAACCCUAACCUCUGUCUCGAAGGCGACACAUCUGAGAGAAAUCUCAUCAAUCAGUCGUACGUUGAGGUCCUCAAGGACGAUGCCUCCCUCCCUCUCUAGUGUUCAAACGUUUGAAGGCGCUUUUGAGAAGGAAAGCAGAACUUCAUCAAUUUAGGUCAUCUUGGGCUAGCUAUUCUAACAAAGAGAAAUUUCUUAUGUGAUUAUCAGGGUAUUAUAAGAUGUUCCACAAGCAGUUGCUCGCUUGCGGUGAUUGCAGGUAUUACAGAAGUCCAGUUUAUUAUGGCACACGCUUUUUAUCAAAAUAAUCUAUGGAAAAUCAAGAACCAAUAAUAACAUAAAUCAAUGCGUAACAGGUUAAGUAUUGACGGAUUUCACGUUAAUAGAAUUGAAUGGGCGGAUCAUAUAAUUACAAAAAAAAAAUCCAAAUGUUCUAUCAGAAGGGCCUUCUGGAAUCGUACAUCUUGGGGGCAGGACCCAAAUUAGUGGGCCAAACAUAUAAGACAUUGCCAAAAACGCCAUGGGCUUGGGUUCAGUGUAAUUGAUAGUACGACACCCAGUUGUAUGUGACAACGUUAGAAUAAUAUCAAAAGAAAAGAGAUUUUAGGCCUUGAUUGCAAUUGAGCCAAAUGUACUUGGGGGCCUACGGGCUCUUCUUAACAGGCCAAAUGGCCCAAUAAGAAUGGGCCGAAACCCAAAAAUGGGUCUACACUAAAACAGGCCCAAUAUCAUGGGUCGAAGCCCAAUUAUAUGGGCCCAUGAUACAAUAAAGUGGGCCUGUUAAGUUUUUCUGCCUUAGUCAAUUUGGUAUAAUGUGUUGUCGGCCCAGGGGCCCAGAGUUACAGGCCAAAAGGCCCAAAAUUAAGGGGCCUAUUAUAAACAUAGCGAACUGGGCCAAUGAAUUUUGGCUCCCAGGGUCCAGCGUAACUGGCCAAGAGGCCCAAUAGAAAUGGGCUGAAGCCUAAUCAUAUGGGCCCAUUAUGCAAACAUAGCGGCCUGGUCAACCUUAGUUCCAAUGGCCCUUGUGUUUUGGGUCGAAACCAAUUCUAUGGGCCCAUGAUGUAAUUAUUCAAUGGGGUCAAGUUUUUUGGGCCUUAAGUCCAAUUGGGUCAAUUUGUUUUCGGCCCACAGGCUCGGCAUAAAUGGCCUAAAGGCCCAAUUUUAAUGAGGCGAAACACAAUUAUAUGGGCCUAUGAUAGAAUCAAGCAGGUCCGGUCAAGUUUCUUGGGCCUGCAUCCAAUUGGGCCAUGUCACUCUCGUAAGCCCAUUUUCACUUUGGGCUUCAGAGUGAUAUGGCUCCGGCCUAUUCUUUCAUUUGUUUUAAAAGUGGCCCAAGUGCUUGUGCAUGAUCUUUCAUUUGUUUUAACAUUUAAGAGUGAGGAGGCCCAAAUUCAUUUUGGGCUUUAAGUUCAAUUCUUAUCAGUUAUCAGCCUCAUGCUGGCCCACUAUAACUGGUCCCGAGGCACAGUUUUUUUGGGCCAUAUGUUGAACUCGUUUAGGAUGUGACGCAACUCUUAACCAGACCGAAUAAGUUUGGUCCUCAUGUCUCGAAUCAGGCCAUGGUACAUUAUACCAUACCUGAGCCGGGUCUCAACUUCAUUAAGCCUGCCUUACAUCAAACUCAUGUGGGCUGUGACGCAACUCUUUACUAGGCCUCGAGCCGAAGAUGGUUGAGCCACGGACAAGGGCGUAACUACCAUUAGCGGCAAGGUUGGUUCUAGUUUCCUUAUUGUUAUAUGUAGUCUUUAAAUUCCCACCUUUUAAUGAAUGCUCUUCCCAUUCGCAUGGUAAAGAAUCUAGUAGUGAUAAACUGAUAAUAGCUUUUAACCUUCCAGCCAUUCCAUUCAGCAUAGUCCAAGGCCAUUCUUCCAGCUAUAGCACCCACAACAUGACCGGAGAUGAGAUCUGGUCCAAAGAUCAAAUAGCUUUUCCAUGUCAGCUCUUGCCACUACACUUAUAAUCAAACCAGCUUUUCUUGCUGUAGGCAUCAAAGCUGAACUUAAUCAUUAGAUGAGGAGUUCCUGCAUCCA